GCUACUCAUAUUUUCGAUUUCUACCUUUUGCAUUUUAAACGUCUUUGUGAUCGGUUGUUGUUGGUUGUUGUUCGGAUGCGAUUUAGUUACUUUGGCGCGUGUUACUCGCACGCACACACAAACACAUACACAUACACGACCAAACGUCUCAUGAGAGAAAGGCAGGCCGAGUGGUAAACAAAAAUACAAAAUGUGCAUGGGGAAAACGGAUAACAACAAUAACAACGGCAAUGGCAUGGAAUUAAUGUAGAAAAAAAUGAAAACAACCAAAUAGCGGCAGAGCUGUCGAACCUACCAACACAGUCGCCCUACGGCGCCUUCCUCCACCCAAUGUUUUUGCUCGCAAAUGUGAAACAAAAGCAACAAAACAAAAACAAUAACAACAAUUAGGUAAUGUUUUUACGGCAUUCUCUUUUGCGUCGUCGUUUCGUUGUUUGACAGAGAGCAUGAGCGAGAGAGAUAACGAAAGAGAACGGAACAGCAAGAGAGCAACGGGCGCUCAUUUCAAUGCCGAUGUUUUUUUUUUUUGUCGUUUUCGUUUGACUUUUGUUUUGAAAGCAUUUUUACAUGGAAAAUUUUGUGUGCGUUUUUUAGAGAGGAAAAUUUUGUGUUUGUAAAUGUUCUGAUUAGAAUGAAAUGUGCUGGUGAUAUGUGAAUUGUAAUGUAU